AUAUUGGUAGUUUAAAAACAAAACAAUAAACUUCGAACUUAAUGAUAUAGGAACCCCUAUCCAAUACA
rnacentral:tRNA from 1 species